CGGCAAAGUCGGAUUUGUACGAACGCCGGACGAUAUAUACUGCUGGAAGAUGCUUUUAAGUACUGCUGAUGUGUCAGUACCAGCAUCCAAGCACCAACAAGAGGUGAACUGCUAUCGGCUCCGCACUGUUGGUGAUCCGCCGUACUGCUGUUGAUUUUGUUUUUGGAUGGAAGAAGUGAAACUGACGCCUAUUUGCGUCAUGACAUUGUUGCGGCUUGGAUGGGGAUAUCCCAAUUGAAUUCAAUUAUUUUGUAUGCGGGAGUAACUCUCUCUGCCCAGGCAUGUAAACAGGUUAUUCCGAAUGUUUCUGGAACCAAAAAUUUUAAUUAACCAUGAACCCAAAUGUUGGCGGCAUUAUACUGCAAAUAUAGUCACUGAAGAAUAUAGAAGUUGGACGAUCAAGCCUUUUAGGUUUCUGCAGUCUGCAAUCAAUACUUGUUGUUCUGAGGCGGUGAUGUUGAUAUUCAUGCCUGAUAACUAUGCUGAUGAGAGUUAAGGUGUUUUCUUGAGACGAAAGUCGUGUUUUGCCACCAUCUUGGUUCCAUUGACACUUGUAAAUCCAUGCCUGCUGAGCUUCGAAUAUGUAGGGGUCGACUGUAGUUUUAAGUGGGAAUAUCACCAAUCACCACGAGGUGGCAGACGUCUUAUUUGAUCUACUGAUCCUGGUCUACAUGUAUUGCUUUACCAUUUGUGUUCAAAAAUCCAUCGAUUAAAGGGUUACAACACCAUAACUAUGAUGCUAUUUGUGUUAACUCUGGUGUUUCGCAUUCAUGCUAACAGCCCCCCAUGCUAACGGCCCCUCCGUUACCAUGGAGGGCUGUUAGCAUGAAGCUCUCGGACGUUCCAAAGGCAGUCAUGUGGUUGUUUUCAAGAAACAAUUUGUAAAUUGUUUUUUGUUUUAUGUUUAGUUAGACAGGAAACCUCAUCUGGUCGUGGUAACAAACAGAUUGAAGCCUAUUUUUGAACACUCUUUGACUUCUCAAAUUCCCGCUAAUAUGUCAAAGCAAAAGUGAAGAUUCUCGUCUCAAAAACCUCAGAAGUCGGGUCAUUUGUAAGUCAAGGCGCCACUGUUUUUUUUAAAGCAACUGUAGACGUGAUACAAACUGCAGUCAUAUUAAUACAAUAACAGACAUUGUUGAAUUCAUAUCCUUGUGUAGUGACGAAGCGUUUAUGAUGCAAACGGACAAAAUGGCGGAAAAAAGUAUAAUGUGGAAGAGCAUCAUUAUUAUAUUUCCUCAUAAUGUGACAUUUCCUCGAAUCAUCAUUAGCAAACCUACUGGCGGUGAGUUACUUGAAAGUUCAUCAUCAUUAAAAAUAACCGCAAGGAUUCCUUUUGCUCGUGUUCAUGCCACGGAGGAACAAACGGUAGCAGCGCCGGCAUUACUGGCAAAUGUCACUGUGGGUUGGCAUGGCGACAGUCACCGAAUUUGGGGGACUAAGAUCCGAAGGGUUAAAACCUACAGAUAGGAGUCCAGAUAUUAAUGCUGAGCUUAAUCAGACACUUGAGUACAAAAGCUCUCUUAAAUGAAAACUUUUUCGCUCCAAAGCUCGUCUUGCGCGCAGCUCCUGUGAGUGUUGCUUAACCGGAGAAGAAAGCGAAAAUAAUUCAGAGGAGAUCAGUUGAAGAGAGAGGCCGAGCGGAAAUGACAGAUGGAUGAAAAAGGGGAAUUGGAAAGAAGGGACUCAAGAGAGGACAAUGCACAAGACGAGAGCGAGAGCGAGAGAAAUCAACGCUAAAUCUUCAUUUUUCCGAGGUCACGGGGUCUGAACUUACUGGAUUGUUGACCUCUUCUAACAUAACAUCUGGAAGACCUUCCAAAAGCCUUCUGGCCACUCAGAGGAUUCGCAUGCUAAACGCGACAAGCUCGCCGGUCAUGAAGUGGCGCAAGAGCUGGAUAUGAAGAAACUAAAGCAAGUGGCGAGGAUGGGACGUAUCCUACCUGUCGCCGUGCGCCUCAGAUGCUCCGCACCGCCGCCACCACCUGGAGUGAUGCGCUGCACUCUCCGCAUCAAAGCAGUCUUGGAAUUUUUCAAGGUUGGAUUGGGAGCUUCUGUCCAGGGGACGACACCGUGUCAGAAACCCCUCGAGGAUGGAUGCACAGUGAGUAUUUAUGUGAGGAAAAUGCCCCCCCUCCCCCUUCUGAUGCCAAAGUCCCACCCAUCGGUGGGUGUUUCUAUGAUUACAGCUCAACAGCGCAAAAGCACACAUUUUAUACCAAUUUCUGUCAUUUUUAUGCAACCACCAGUGGCUCAUACAAAUGUCUAGAAAUAGACAAACUAUGAAUAACUGUGUGUGUGUGUGUGUGUGUGUGUGUGUGUGUGUGUGUGUGUGUG